CUGUGCUCGCUCGGGUUCUUGAACAUUGAGUCUCAAGGGGCACGGACAGUUUGCCCGUCCCUUCGAUAGCUCAGCUGGUAGAGCGGAGGACUGUAGCUGACUUCCUGGCAGGAGACAUCCUUAGGUCGCUGGUUCGAUUCCGGCUCGAAGGAGACAAGUACGCUUUUUGUCAACUUUCUACGAUUUACGGCCCUUUCCACGGGUCUCCUUUCCUAAUAUAAUAUUCCAACGAACACUUGGAGAUUCUGGUACUUUCGCUCCAGUUUUGGCCUAUGGCAGCAACCCUCGUAUGAAAUAUUUUGUGAAUUACCCAAGCGGGGACGUGCUGUCCUAGUAACAAGCGCCGAAGUGAGUCUGCGCUCUGCGGGGCGGCUGCCAGGUCCCGGACUUCUGCUCCUUUCUAAAUCGUCUUUGGCGUUUCCCGAGUCCCCUGAGCAUACAGAGAAAGGUCCCGAGCCAGCCAGCCGCCUGCUCUUUUCCUCAGAGCUCCGGGGAGAGGGGGCAACUCGAACGCUCUUUCCAGCGGCCAUGAGAAGAUGNGGGGGUGGGGGGGUGGGGUCACCAGAAGGAUACCUUUGUGAUGGGCAAACCUGGGAGUCGGGAAAGAAACGCGGUAGAAAGCACACGAAGCUUAGAAAAUGAGUAAACAUUAUAAAGAAAAGUCGGCACUCUGUCUCCCCGCUCCCUUCGAUAGCUCAGCUGGUAGAGCGGAGGACUGUAGGCCCUGAUGUCCCUAGCCAUCCUUAGGUCGCUGGUUCGAUUCCGGCUCGAAGGAGAGUGUUUAUUGAUUUUUGUUACUUUGGCCUCAGCUGUGACGCAAGAUUAAGAACGUGAUUAAGAAAAACAUUUUUUCCAUUUCUAAGUGCUCUGACCUCUCUCUAGGGGAAGAGAUAACCGGCCGUGCCCAGCGGUGGGGGAUUAGCUCAAAUGGUAGAGCGCUCGCUUAGCAUGCGAGAGGUAGCGGGAUCGAUGCCCGCAUCCUCCAACCCUUUUCUCCUCAUUCCGUAUAAUAGUUUUUCUUUCGAUUCUCAUUCAACUCAAGUAGAACUUGAAAUCAGCUCUCAGGCAAGUGAGAGACAAGGCGAACUUGAGGUUACCGUUUCCUAAAACUCCCCAGACGAGGGAUAAUGGGUGCUGACGGAGUUUAUUCUUACAACUUAAAAAUUUUAGACCCAUUUACUUUGGGAGGUUCACGAAAUUGGUUCUUUUUCUGUCCAAAAAUGGUUACAGAUUGCAGUCCCAUCUGUUCCCACUUUGUGAUUUGUACUCGAUCGCUGCACUUCCAAGGACCCAUUUGAUACUAAACUGCCCGGAUUUAAGGGGGGACUGACAGAAAAACAACCCAAAAAACAUUGAACUUGGAAAAGGACGCUGGCUACUUUAAACUUAGCGUUAAGCCGGAGCGAGAAGUAUUCCGCUCCACAUCAACUUUCAGUGGGGUGACCAACUCUGGGCCGAUCUACUAAGGUAGGAUAAAGAUACCUGAAGAGAGGCGAGGAAGCGGAAGGGUUUUUAAACCUAGAAGCUGGCUACUGAAGGAGGGGUUCUAAUGCCCUUUUCCUCCUGGGGAGUAACUGGAGAACUGGAGACCAGCACUGAAAAGGAAUUAAAUGGAAAAAAGUUUUACUUAGGGCUGAUUUUGAGCAUAGUCUAGUUUGUUAAAGACAAAACAAAAACAAAAUAAAUACACACACACUCGCUGAAAGAUUCAGAAGUUGAGCAGAACACACACAAAGGCUUUUCUGGAAAUAUAUGCUCCCUAUCCUAAUUUACUAGAAUAUAGCCUUUAAAAAGCUGUUGAAACUAUACUGUGGUUCUCAACACAAAACAUAAAUUUACAAAGACAAAGGCAGAAAUACUAUCUUUUUUGAGGAUUACAAUUAGUAAAUGAUAAUUCUUU
rnacentral:tRNA from 1 species